ensembl:snRNA U6 U6 spliceosomal RNA
GUGCUUGCUUUGGCAGCACAUAUACUAAAAAUUGGAAUGAUACAGAGACAAUUAGCAUGGUCCCUGUACAAGGGUGACAUGCAAAUUCAUUAAGUGUUCCAUAUUUUU